GCGCAAGGACUCGCCUGUCCUCGCCUCCUCCCGUCCGCCUGCGAGCCGGAUCGGUAACGUUCGGCUGCUUCCGCCAGCCGGUCGCCAACCACUCGGAGGCCUUCGGAACUGUUCGGCUAGUGACCCCAGGGCGUGUCCUCGGAGGCGGAGCACCCCCUUUCGAGGGCCCUUCGUGUGUUUUCGGAAGUGCAGCGCUGGAUUUCCGAGUAGGUCCAGUUCGAGAGACCCUAAGUCCCUUUCUGAAGGGGUUUCUCUCCAGGGUUGCUCACCAGCGCUUGGCACAGUAUAGGUGCUCCAUAACUAUUUGUUUUACGUCUGAACGUGCGGAUGCGUGAGUCACUUAAGGCCAGCUCCAGGGUCUCCGGAUGCUUCCGGUCUUCUUCGCGAGCUCUCGGCUCUUCCCGACGAGUGCACAGAGGCCCGCUCGGGCAUUUUCGCAACCCUUCGGAGACGCCCUCCCGGGUCUGUUCGGAAACACUCGUUUUCCUUCGGGCCACGUUCGGAAAUCUGCGGCUGAUGCGGGUAGAUUGGGGUCGCCCUCCGCAGGCGAUCUCAAACGCUUUAGUCUGGAGAGAAGCUGGACGUAAUCUUCUAGCGGACUGACCACCCCUCCGCCCCAGGAGGGCGUCGGUUCCCCCGAGGACGAAUCGUUUGGAGGGGGAGGGAUUUGCCUUAAAAGCUCUUGGUUCCUUGGGGGGCCGCAUCUGUUGGCCUCUGCCCCGUCCCCUCUACCCCCAGCCCGCCCGCAGCCGCACCCCUUAAACUCUCUUGUUUUCUGUUGCCACGGCCCUCUUCAGGGGCAGGAGACCCGCGUGAUGAACCCCGGGUCCUCGGCCUCAACAGCAAGGGGCUGGGCGCUCGGGGGGGGGGGGGGGGGGUGGCGCUCCGGAAACCCCGGCUCACCAAACGGAACGGCCAUGGCCUCUGUCGCCCCCGCGAGUGCAGCUGGACCUGGGACUGUGUCCGGGAACUCCAUGAGGUCCCCCUCCGUGUUCGGGGGCUUCGCCCCUAGGGAAUCCCGGCCGUCCAGAGGCAUUGGGAGAAGCCUGGGGGCCCGCCCCGCUGCCCGCACCAUCGCCCCCAGGCCCGAAGUGGGUGCGCUCAGGGCCGGGAGUUCCAUCACCUCCCAGGGGCGCACGGGCCACCCCAGGGGACCGGCAAUAAGGGAGAGAAAUCUCAGCUCCCGAGAGCCCCGUGUUUCCUCCAUUAGGGCGCCCUGCCCGCUAACUCCGGCGUCCCGGGGCUCCGGGUCCAGGCGUCUUGUCUGGUCCUUGUUUUUUGACCCCACCUGUCCCCACCGCGGGGCCUGGGGCGCAGAGGGCCCCGCAGGCAGGCGCUGAAGAGAAGCAACGUCCGGGCUCCCGGAGCACCCCACGCUGCCUCCAUUAGGGCACCCUGAGUUUUGAAUGUGUUCCUUCGCGCUCCUUGGGGUGCGUAAGGCCCCUCCCACCCUUAUCCGGGAGCCCGGCUGCCCCCUUCAAGGUCUCUGAGGACCAGGACGUGCCCAGAAACCAGGGCCGGGGCACCCCCCGAGUCGGGCCCGUGUGCACCCCAGCCAGCUCAGGUGACCAGGAGGGCGCCGGGCACACCUGGCGCCGUCCCCUGACCCCGCCCCGGGCCGGGCCGCACCCCGGAAAGCUCUCUGGGGGAGCCAGCGCGGCGCAGCAGGGCCAUGGCAGCGGCGCCAGCGGUGGGCGUCCCGCAGGGGCCCCCGCCGGGGGCACCGUCCCCGCCGGCCGGCGCGCCGGGGCCUGCGUCCGGCCUGGGCCGCUGCCGGAUGGCGCUGUUGCUGGCGGUGGCGCUGGACGUGGCGGGCAUGGCGGCGCUGCUGACCGGCGUGUUCGCGCAGCUGCAGGUGCGCGGCCGCGACUUCGGCGACCUGCUCAUCUACUCGGGCGCGCUGCUCGUCUUCCUGAGCCUGCUCGGCUGGAUCCUCUGGUACACCGGCAACAUCGAGAUCUCGCGCCAGGAGCUCGAGCGCGACUACGGCCUGCGGCCCUCGGCGCUCGCCCGCCUGGCGCGCAAGCUCUCCCGCCGCUGGUCUGCGCCGGCCUCCUCCUCCGGCCCGCGCGCCGCGCCCGGCUCUCUGGGAACGCGCCGUGCCGCCCGCGCGCCCCCGCCGACCGCCGCCGGCUCCCGCCGCGUGCGCCUGCAGCUCGCUACGCUCGAGGCCGGGCCGGGGGCGGCGGGCGCGGGCACCGAGUGAGCCCGAGCUUGUGCCGCUGGCCCCCAGGGAGGCAAGUAUGCCGGCCCAGGUUGGCGGUGGAGAGAUGAAGGAGCGACCAAGCAGGAGUACAGCCCCACGGCCCCACCUGUGAGGACGGGACUGCGUGUGCAGCUGCACCCACCACCAUCUGGGCCACCAGGAUGCCUGCUUGUCUGCCCCUAUCCUCUCUCGGAUAAAUGGCUCUGCCUCCUA